rnacentral:rRNA from 1 species
UACAGAGGGUGCAAACGUUGCUCGGAAUUAUUGGGCGUAAAGGGCGCGUAGGCGGCCUGAUAAGUAGGGGGUGAAAUCCUGCGGCUUAACCGCAGGGCUGCCUUCUAAACUGUCAGGCUAGAGCACAGUAGAGGCAGGUGGAAUUCCCGGUGUAGCGGUGGAAUGCGUAGAGAUCGGGAAGAACAUCAGUGGCGAAGGCGGCAUCCUGGACCAACACUGACACUGAGGAGCGAAAGCCAGGGGAGCAAACGGG